AGGGGCAGCGGGGGAGUAAGCUUGCUUACUUCUGCCGGCGACCGUCGCACGGGUGAGUAACACGUAUGCAACCUGCCCGUCACAGGGGGAUAAUCGGAAGAAAUUCCGUCUAAUACCGCGUGACAACACCGAGAGGCAUCUUUUGGUGUUCAAAGGAAGCAAUUCCGGUGACGGAUGGGCAUGCGUCGCAUUAGCUAGUCGGCGGGGUAACGGCCCACCGAGGCGACGAUGCGUAGGGGUUCUGAGAGGAAGGCCCCCCACACUGGUACUGAGACACGGACCAGACUCCUACGGGAGGCAGCAGUGAGGAAUAUUGGUCAAUGGGCUAAGGCCUGAACCAGCCAAGUCGCGUGAGGGAAGACGGUCCUAUGGAUUGUAAACCUCUUUUGUCGGGGAGCAACGAGGCCACGUGUGGCCGAAGUGAGAGUACCCGAAGAAAAAGCAUCGGCUAACUCCGUGCCAGCAGCCGCGGUAAUACGGAGGAUGCGAGCGUUAUCCGGAUUUAUUGGGUUUAAAGGGUGCGUAGGCGGAACAUUAAGUCAGCGGUAAAAUCGAGGGGCUCAACCCCUUUAAGCCGUUGAAACUGGUGAUCUUGAGUGGGCGAGAAGUAUGCGGAAUGCGUGGUGUAGCGGUGAAAUGCAUAGAUAUCACGCAGAACUCCGAUUGCGAAGGCAGCAUACCGGCGCCCGACUGACGCUGAGGCACGAAAGCGUGGGGAUCGAACAGGAUUAGAUACCCUGGUAGUCCACGCAGUAAACGAUGAAUACUAACUGUCCGGGUCGAGCGAGAUCUGGGUGGUAAAGCGAAAGCGUUAAGUAUUCCACCUGGGGAGUACGCCGGCAACGGUGAAACUCAAAGGAAUUGACGGGGG
rnacentral:rRNA from 1 species